UACGUAGGUGGCAAGCGUUAUCCGGAUUUAUUGGGCGUAAAGGGAACGCAGGCGGUCUUUUAAGUCUGAUGUGAAAGCCUUCGGCUUAACCGGAGUAGUGCAUUGGAAACUGGGAGACUUGAGUGCAGAAGAGGAGAGUGGAACUCCAUGUGUAGCGGUGAAAUGCGUAGAUAUAUGGAAGAACACCAGUGGCGAAAGCGGCUCUCUGGUCUGUAACUGACGCUGAGGUUCGAAAGCGUGG
rnacentral:rRNA from 1 species